rnacentral:lncRNA from 1 species
AUCUCUGCUUACCACCGAACUUACAUUCUCCGCAACAUUUUGCCACUCAUCCAAUGUUUUACUGAUUUUGGAGAGAAGUCCAGCAAUCAAAGUAAUUUCUAGAGGUAACCCUCCACAUUUUAAUGCAAUUUGUUUCCCAAUAUUUUCAAAUUCAGGAGAAUAAGAACCUUCUUUUUCAAAGAUCUUUUUGUGUAGUAAAUUCCAACUUUCGUCAAAAUUCAUGAGGCGCAUNNNNNNNNNNNNNNNNNNNNNNNNNNNNNNNNNNNNNNNNNNNNNNNNNNNNNNNNNNNNNNNNNNNNNNNNNNNNNNNNNNNNNNNNNNNNNNNNNNNNNNNNNNNNNNNNNNNNNNNNNNNNNNNNNNNNNNNNNNNNNNNNNNNNNNNNNNNNNNNNNNNNNNNNNNNNNNNNNNNNNNNNNNNNNNNNNNNNNNNNNNNNNNNNNNNNNNNNNNNNNNNNNNNNNNNNNNNNNNNNNNNNNNNNNNNNNNNNNNNNNNNNNNNNNNNNNNNNNNNNNNNNNNNNNNNNNNNNNNNNNNNNNNNNNNNNNNNNNNNNNNNNNNCAUGUUCAGGUAAACUGACAAGUGAGCUAGUUUGUGGUUUUAGAUCUUUCAUGCUGUCCGAUGCUGCCAUCCACUGUUUCACGGUGGAAUCAAUGUAUUCUAGUGCUUGUUCCAAGACGAAAAAAAUCUCCCACAUAGCCCUGCUUCUUUCCUCCAAAUUCUGUGCUAAAAAAACAUUUCUUGAUUCCGAGUCAACCAUAUCUUCUGUUGUGUAUGCUACCUCUGCGAUUUCAACUUCCAAGAUUGUUAACCCCUCAUGAUCGCCCAUUAUAUUGCAGGAUUUCUCCAGAAUAGCUCUCAAAGAUUUGAGCUUUUCAUAAAACGGUUGCAAAUCACAUCCAGUAAGUUCCAUUGAUUGAUGUAUGGUUCUCAUAAGGGAAGUAACAGCAGCAUAAGCCAUAUAUCCAAAAAAUAGAAAUAUCUCUCAGUAUGAAAAUGGACAAAUUGCCACAAGUUAUGUAAUUUUUCAGUUUUUAAGAAAACAGAAAAUGCAAAGUUCUUUCUUUUACUAGCUAUUUCCAUCACAUUUCCAGCUAGGUCCACCAACCUUAUCAUCAUGUAGACAAAAGCAGAGACCAAAGUUAAAAAAAAGUAGAAAAAUUUGUGAUCAUUCAUUAUUAGACCGUACACAUAUCUAUUCAUGAAUAUAAGUAUGCUUCUUACAUACAAGAGAUUGAUGAUUUUAAUUACAUUGAAAGCAACUUAGUAGAAUUUUCCAAAUCAAAGAGAGAAAUAUUAAGAUCCAAGUAGGAAUUUCUCUAUUCCUAGUUCGAUUCAAUUAACCAAGCAUAAAUAUCUCUUAAUAUACAUGAGAAGUUUAGACUCUAAAAGUCAAAUCAACAAAAUAUUUAUGGGCUAACACAUGAAAAACUAUUGAGAAAAUCGCCUAAUUUCUGUAAAUUGGCCCUUAAAUCUCCAAAAUGAACUCUAAAAAUUGUCAGACUGUACGUAUUGCUCCCCAACUCCCUACUGAGGGUUCUGUAAAGAUUUCGAUUAGAAUUCGUCCGUAAGUCAUAUCACCAAUAUAUUAAUGACUAACACACACGAAAAACUGAGAAAAUUGUCUAAUUUCUUGAAAUUGGCCCCUAAAUGCCUAAAAUGGACUCUAAAAGUUGUGAGACUGUACGUACUGCUCCCCCGACUCCCUACAGAGGGUUUCGUAAAUGUGUAGCAAAGAAAUCGUCUGGAAGUCAUAUCACUAUAAUAUUAAUGGGCUAACACACACAAACCACUGAGAAAGUCGCGUAUUCCUGUAAAUUGGCCCCUAAAUGCCCAAAAUGAACUCUAAAAUUGUGAGACUAUGUACUGCUCCACUAACUCCCUAUGGAGGGUUCCGUAAAGAUUUCACAAAGAAAUUAUUCGGAAGACAUAUCACCAAAAUAUUUAUGGGCUAAUACAUUUUUAUUUGUCCAUUUGAUUUGACAUAUCUUUCAAGUACUUUGAUCUGGUUAUACUUUUUUUUUAUUGCUAAAAAUAAAUAUCCACUUUUACUUGUUCAUUCUACAAAACAAAGACAAUAUUUUAUUGCUUGAUUCAGAUAUAAAAUUUGAGUAGGCUAAUUUACAAACCAUCUGUAGUCAUCCUGCCCCUAUGCUAUAACAUUUGAAAGAAAGAGGUCAUCAUCAUCAUAUUCAUCAUCGUUGUCAUCUUCAUCAUCAUCUUCAUCAUCGUUGUCAUCUUCAUCAUCAUCUUCAUCUUCUUCAUCAUUAUCAUCAUCAUCAUCAUGAUCGUCAUCGUCACUUGUUUCCUCACUGUUGAAAAAGCCAGCAACAAAAGAUGAAAAAUGAAAUGUUAUGCAAGUAUAACAAGUUACACAAUUACUAUAUUGGAAGGAUUUAAAUCAUAUACAAUGACAACGUAUGAACUUUUACACUAUAGGUGCCAUUUAACUGCUUAUUAAAGCAAUUUAUAAUUAUUUUAUUACUAGUUCUGGACACGUGCUUUGCAUGUGUAUAUUACACGUUUAGUCACGAUUGUAAGAGGGUGUACACCAGGAUCAUUCGAAGAGCAAAGUCGUGUGAGCCUUACAGAUAUUCUUGACGUACUCCUAUUAAAAUCUGUAUCAUAUUCGUAACUUUUUGAAUGAGGUUCACCUUUUUCCUCAUUGUACUUUGUACAUGGAUGUUGUCCAUCACAAUAUCCCCUUUUUCAAAUUUCAUAGCUGAACUACUAGGUGUACGAGUUCCUACCAGAACUACUACCAACUAUUUAUCAAAACACACAUCAACUAUAUAUGAGUUGUUCCCUUUUACUAGUGGUGACAAAUAGGUGGAUUUGGACGGGACUGAAAAUGGAUUGAGCAACAUGGUCGUAACUCACUUAAUCUCUUAAAGCCAGAAAACUUUAAAGAGUUAAUUGAAAUAAACUUAAUGACUAUCCUACUUGAAGUAUCACCGUCGUUCAGGUAAGAAAAAGGAAGUAUAUCAAGGAAGAAGAUGUCUUACAAAGCCUGAUGGAUAUGGACCUCGAUAGAACCUCCAUAGUUGUCUUGAAUGUCCUGUUGAAUCUGCUUUGCGGAAUUCCCAACAGAUUCUGGGCAGUUUCUUAUAUAGAUUAGAGCAAGUGUGGUUAUAUCUGCAAAAUCUUGAGGGAUUGAGUCCAAAAACCUGCAACUAUCAAGAAAUAGUCGUUCAAGGCACGGAAAGUGAUCACAACUAGCUCUCCAGUACUGAAUAUGUGAUCUUUUAAGUAACAAGAACUUCAAAAAAGGAAACCCUUCCUCAGCUACUUCCCACUCCCUGCCUCUGCAUACACCCUGUGUUAGUUCAAGAAGUUCAAGUUUGGGCAAUUUUCCGACAACAAUGCUUAAAUCCUUCCAUGACAAGAAGAAAUUUCCUGUAAAAGUUAAAUUCUUAAGGUUUCGUGGAAAAGCAUCUGGAGGAGGUAAGAUCAAAGAUGGAACAACUUCUACAACAAGUGGAUUCCUUGUCUGAAAACACAUUCUCCUCUCCAAAAAGUAAGCAUUAUUUUGAGGAGGAAGACAAAAUGCUAGUUCCUCGAGAUGAUCUAAGUAGCGAAAAUCAUAGAGGUCUUUGUGACUAUGGAAGUCUUGUGGGAUGCCACGUACUUGCAACUCCUUUAAAUUGGGAAAUAGUCUAAAGAAAGAUGCAGUACAAUAGCUAGGAUUCCAUCCAAACAGAGAAUGUAAAUUUUUCAUAACCAAACUUUUCUCUGUAAGCUCAUGAUAUCGCAAGUAAUUCCGAUCCAAAUGAAGGUGCCUCAACUGUGGCAUUGUCAAAAUAUCUGAUGGUAAUAUCAAAGCAUGUUUACGAAGAUUAAUGACGAGUGGAAGGUAAAGUACCAAACUUUGCAGAUAGCAUAGGUUUGAUAUGGAUGUAGGAAUGUCUACUCUUGAUGAGAGAACAUCUUCUUCGGAUCCUAGAUAUUGCUCAACGUUAGGAUAAAUACGCAAAGCUAGGUGUCUUAAGUGAAUCAAAUAAAGUAUUUCACGGGGAAAAGUUAGACAGAUAUUAUCAGCAAGAUCUAGAACUCUUACUAGCUUGAACGGCAAGUACUCCCUCAUGCAACAUCGGAAUCUACCAAAUAAGAUAACAGAAUGAGCUUCACUGUUAAGGCACCUAACAUACUCUUUCUUAUUAUGGAUGCUGAUUCGACUUCGACUCUUAGACAAACACUGCAUGGAUUUCACAUAUGAAUUUUGAUCAUUCUUUCUUCUGAGAACAUUCACAAAAUUCAUGUUACGAGCUUCCAUCAAACAGAGUUCACGAGUCAUAUCAUGAAUUCCACAACACUUAAUUUUUCCAUCAAAAGUAGUACUUUUAAUGGAAAUUAAACUUCUAUCAAUAAGAUCUUGUAGGUACUUUUCUGCCACUUCUUCUAUGCUUUUCAUCUCUUCUACCUUCAAAAAUCCCUCUGUUUCCCACAAUAUCAUAAGUUUAUUGACAAAAAUCAGUUUAUCCUCUGGGAAGAUUGCGAAAUAUAAAAAGCAUGGUUUUAGGUGGUGAGGCAAGUAAUGGUAACUCAUUGCCAACACCCUCAUGCAUUGGACACCAACAUCUGUGCUUACUGCUGAACUUACAUUUUCAGCAACACUUUGCCACUCACUCAAUGCUUUGUCAAUUUUAGUGAGAAGUCCCGCGAUCACAACAAUUGCUAGAGGCAAUCCUCCGCAUUUCAAUGCAAUUUGCUUUCCAAGUUGUUCAUAUUCAGGGGAGAAAGAGUCUUUCGUAAAGACUUUUUCAUAUAAUAAAUUCCAACUUUCGUCAAAAUUCAUGAGGCGCAUGUGAUGAGGAAGCUUACCUGAGCUAGCAUAUUCAGCCACUUCCACAUUCCGAGUAGUCAAGAGUAUUCGGCUUCCAUUAUGAAAGUCUGGGAAACAUAUUUGUAUAUCAUCCCAAGCUUUUGUAGUCCAUAUGUCAUCAAUGACUACCAAAUAUCUCUUGCCUUUUAGAAGCUUUUGCAGUCGAUCUGCUAGUUGCCCGUCAUGUAGCUGAUCAUAAGGUUUAUCACUUAUACAAGAAAGAAGGUCUAGGAAAACAUUUCUCACACAAUACUCUUGUGAAACAGUAGCUUUUGCACGUAUGUCAAAGCGAUACAUCAUGCAUGGAUCGUUGUAGAGUUUUGUUGCCAAAGUUGUCUUGCCAAUGCCUCCCAUACCUACAAUUGAUACAACUUCUAGUUCUCUUUCUCCUCUAGCAAGUUGAUCCAGCAUCAUCUUGAAUUCAUUUUCAUAGCCAACCAUUAUAACCUCGGACCGCUCAACAGCAAGUUCAGGUAUCUUGGAUAGACAGAAAUUUUGUGCUUUGAAAUCUUUAAUGUUGUUGUACCAGUCCCAUAUUGCCAACCACUGCAUCAUGAAGGAAUCAAUACAUUCUACCUCUUGUUCCAAGGAACAACAGAGUUCCCAGAAAGCUUUGCUUCGUGUAAUUACAGUUUCUGCAGAAGAAACUUUUCUUGAUUUCGAAUCAACCAUGUCUUCUGCUUUGAAUGCUACCUCCGUGAUUUCAACUUCCAAGGUUGUUAACCCCUCAUGAUCGCCCGUUAUAUUGCAGGAUUUCUCUAGAAUAGCUCUCAAAGAUUCGAGCUUUUCAUAAAACGGUUGCAAAUCACAUCCAUUAAGUUCCAUUGAUUGGUGUAUGGUUCUCAUAAGGGAAGUAACAGCAGCAUAAGCCAUAUAUCCAAAAAAUAGGAAUCUCUCACUCUCAGUAUGAAAAUGGACAAAUUAAUUGCCACAAGUUAUGUAAUCUUUCUUUUACUAACUAUUUCCAUCACAUUUCUAGCUAGGUCCACUAACAGGAUAAAGUAGAAAGAUGUGAGGUCACUAACCUUAUCAUCAUGAAGACAAAAGAAGAGACCAAAGUUAAAAAAAAAAAAAGACGAAAAAGUAGAAAAAAUUGUGAUCAUUCAUUAUUAGACCCUACACUAAUCUCUUCAGAAAAAUAAAAUAAAAUUUUAGUUUAAAUAAAGGAAUUCAAGCUGUAUAUUGAUAACGUCCAAUUCAAAUUCAAGUGUAGUACGGUCUAGCAAUAAUAAACUCAACAAAAGUUGGAGUCGAGGAGUACGCUUGUGUCAAGGUGACAGAGAGUGUGCGAAUUUGCUAACAAACAAAAGGUCUUUCUUUUAGCUAGGUCCAUAAUCCAUGUAGUGCUCUAUACUCUCUAGUCUCUAUCAACCAGCUCAAGUUUAAGGGUGUGUUUGGUAUGGAGGAAACAUUUUCUCUAGAAUAGGGAGAGAUUUGUGCAUAAACAAGGAAGAAUCUCUCAGUAUAACAGUGAAUGGGUAUUUUUUUAAGAUUUGCUUCUUUUGUGUAUGACUUUUGUAAGAAACAUUCUGGUAAAAGUUAAAAAAAAUGAUCUUGUGGAAUAGCCACAGUGAAUUCCUUAAUAUUCGAGUAGAAAAAGCCAGAGAGGAUAACAUUGCUAUUUGUACACUUAUCGUGACACGAGUAGUCUCUUAAAUAUUACACCUUUCUACUGAUGUUGCUGAUGCCACUGGAUUUAGCCUUCCGUCUUCCUUUGCAAGGUAGAUCGAGGACUCCCAAGAAAGGAAACACAAGUUACUGGAGUCUGUUCUGGCCUAUACAGUAUGUAUGUACAUAAAAUUUGGAGUAUCUAAAAACCACUGACAAAUGGCUAUACGAAAGAUCAUAUACAAUUAAAUUACAAGCCAUUUGCAAUCAUCCUGCCCCUUUAUGCAGAAUCUUUUCAAAGAAAAUGAAAACGAACAAAACAAACACUCACACAUUUGGCUUCUGAUUUGACAUUUAUUUCAGAGAACUGGCUAGUCGCUGCAGGAAAAAAAAAGACGCAAAAAAUGGAAAAUAAUAUGUUAGAUGUCCCAUAAUUAAGGAACAAGAGAACAUUAUAGCAAGAAUGAGCAUGCAGGUAUAAGAACUUACACAUUAUUGCGGCAAGAAGCAACUUCUUUCUCAAAGUCAUCAUCAUCAUCUUCAUCUGUUGUUACACUAUCGAAAAUGCUAGCUACAAAAGAUGAAAAAUGAAAUGUUACACUUCCCAAAAUCAAGAAUGAGCAUGCAAGUAUAACAAGUUACACAAUAUUGGAAGGAUUCGAAUCAAUCACAAUGACAGCAUCAAGAACUUUUGUUGAAUUGGUGUAAUUUGACUUACUAAAGCUAUUAUCCAGAUUAUUAUCGAGUUUACUAUAAUGAUGAGUUAAAUAUUGUUGUAAAUCAAGGAAGAAGAUGUCUUACUAAAGAUUACGAGUAUGGACCUCGAUAGAGCUUCCAUAGUUGUCUUGAAUGUCCUGUUGAAUUUGCUUGGCGGAAUUCCCAACAGAUUGUUGACAGUAAUGUAUAUCAAUAAGAGCUAGUGUGGUUAUAUCUGCAAAAUCUCGAGGGAUUGAAUCCAAAUACUCGCAAUUUCUAAGAAAAAGUCGUUCAAGGUACGGAAAGUGAUCACUACUAGCUCUCCAGUACCGAAUGUAUAUUUGAUCCAGAAACAAGAACUUCAAGUGAGGAAACCCUUCCUCAACUACUUCCCACUCCUCGCCUAUGACGGCAUUGUGUGAUAGUUUAAGGACCUCGAGUUUGGGUAAUUUACCAACAAUGCUCAAAUCCUUCCAUGCCAAAAGGAAAUCUCCUCUAAAAGUUAAACUCUGGAAAAGAUUAAUUAACAAAAAUUUAUGGUACUAAUUGGGGUAUUAAUUAACAUAUCCUUACUUGAUCACAUAUGUAUUGUUCUGUGUGAAAUUUUCCUCUGACUGAUAGUUGACUAAAUUAUAUUGCAUACGUUCGUGUACAUUUUCUCACUUGGAAGAGUGGAUUUGGACGUAAUUAACUAUCACCAUCGUUUAGGUAGAAAAAAGAAAAUAACUAAUAGUUGAAUGUUUUAAUACAUAGAUGAUCAACUAAUAUGAGAAGAAAAGAGUAGCGUAAAUGUGAGAUUCACUUCUCACCAAGAAUCCUCCUUUCUUAUUAUUUUCCUUUUAGAGGUUAAUAAUUAUUAAGUAUCCCUAGAAUAAUUUAUUGAAAAAGUAGAUUUGAAAGAAAGCAAUUACUCUCUUCUUCCUAUGCGGGACUUCUUGAACAUAACUAAUUUGACAAAAACCACAAUUUUAUUUAUUUUUAGGUGGAAUUAUAUCAAUAAGGAACUAUAUAUGCUUAUGAUAUUAAUCUAAGACCAUUAUUUGUUACUUGAACACAUGGAUUCAUCAUCUGAACAAUUGAAACAAUUAAUACUUGUGUGAACCUUUUUUUAUUUCGAGUGAUGUGUCAUAAUCAUUAGCCAACUAAGACUAGCGUUAAAUUUUUGGUAAGUCUCAAGAAGUGUAAUUAAUACUUAAUAAAAUAAUCUCAUCCUUGAGAUUCAAGAACUUGUUUGGAUUGAAUAGGUUUUUAUCAUCAAGAUCUAGAACAAAGUCUUAAUAUUAGUAAGAGGUAUUUUUGUGUGAAAAGUUUUCUUUGAGGUUCGAGAAAUGGAAUAGAUAUGGACUACAAGUUGAUAUUUCCCAUUGGAAAAUUCACACAAAAAGGAACAAGGAAUUCUCAAUGAAAAAAGCGCUCUCCAAAUCUGUUUAGUAUUUGUCAUGAGGUUCUUAUCAUAAUUGGAUUUUCCUUUUAGGAAAAGGUAAACACAGUCUCCAUAUUUGUCUAGUUCUUUUUCUUGUAGGAAAAAAAUUAUGACUCUAUAAAUAGAUGUUUUGUAACAUCCGACAAUUUGAAAUAGCUAAGAAGAGGCUUGAAAUUUGGAAAUUUUCAAUUUUUGGAAAGGAUUUGAAAAUCUGGAAAAUUUGGCUAAGUAUGGGAAAGGUGAGUUUUUUUGGGCCCAAACUUUGAACAACCAUAAAUUCUAGCUCAGGAUGAGUUAGGUGGAGUUCCGGUUAUGUUUGCAUAGCCCUCGGAACGACCUUUCCAACGCCACUGAGUUUGCUCAAUUCUGAGUUCGUAUGAGCGAGUUAUGGCCAUUGAAAGUUGGGCAGUUGGCAGGGAAUCCGUCCGGAAAAUUAAGGGCAUUUUAGUCUUUUCCCUAGCCAAUUCUUUUGGGAUUAUAUUGUUGUAUAGGGCUGAUCUUUAGAUCAUUUUGUCCCAUUUUAAGAAAUUAAAAUCUAGGGCUUGAGAGUGAAGAAGAGAAGAAGGAGAAGAAGAAGAGAAAAAUCGAGGAGAUCAACAAGUUUCCGACAAGAUCAUCGUGAAUGUUCGUCGGGGGUGAUCCCUAUCAAGGUAUGUGAGCUUUUAGUGUUGGGUGAUACUUUCCCCCACACACCUAGCCCCUUUUAUUUAUUAAGGAAGGAUUGGUUAUGUUGUUAAAGUUGUUAGUUGUUGUGGUUGAAGUUGUUGGAGUUGUUAAAGUUGUUAGUUGUUGUUGUUGGAAUUAUUGUUGGUGGUGGGACAUAAUUGAGUUGUGUUUUUAUGUUGAAAUCUAUUGAAUGUUGAGGGAUUUUAUGUUUCUAAGUGAUUGGGGGCUGGAAUCUUUGAGGUUAGAGGGUUUAGAGUUGGUAACGUGAAGGAGAAAGUCGGGUAGCUUGCGAGGAGCAUGUCUGCGUCGCGGACUUGUUCCUCUGUGAACAAAAAAUCUUCUCCGCGUCGCGGACAGGACGCAGACUCCACUGUUUUCAGAAUUUAUGUUCGAAGAUUUUCUUAGGUUUGGCUGUCCCAAAUCAUUCGCAAAUCAUUCCUAAACAUCAUGAGACCCUUCCAAACACCAAUCAAGUCCUUGAAUCCAUAAUCCAAUUCAAGGUGAGUUAUGAUCAAGUCAAGUGAAGUUAGUUUUCAAGUCAAGUGAAGUUAGAAGUCAAGUGAAGUUAGAGCCAAGCUUAGAAGUUAAGCAAGUCAAAGCAAGUCUUUAAAGCUUUUCAAGAGUCUUCAUUGAACGUUUUGACUUCAUUCUAAGGCUCAAGUUCCAAGUUAAGUAUAGAGUUUCAAGUCAAGCAAAGAGUCUCAAGUUUCAAGUUAAGUAAAGAGUAUCGAGUUUCAAUUUAAGUCAUAAUUUUUCAGUCAAGAGUCAAGAGUUGAGUUCAAUUCUCAAAAGUAAUUAGGGAACUAAGUAUUUCCCAAAGAAGUUUUAUAAGUGUUUUCACAUUUAAGUUGAGAGGAAACGGAGAUUUCCAAAAGAGUUUUGAGAAGUUUGAGCACUAUCUCUUUUAAAAGAAAAGAUGAGUUUUUGAAAAAGAGUUUCUAAAUUAUGAUUAGUAUGACAAAUGGAGUAUGUCAUCAAUGUUUAAACAGUAUGGUCUCUAGAUAUACCAUCAAUGUUUAAGCAGUAUGAAUAUCCCGAGUCAUCAAUGAUCAUAAAAAAAAAAAAUGUGGUUUUGACUUGUUCUAUUUAGAAAGAGUUUUCAAGUGCCUUCGGGCUAAGUUUUGAGUAAUUAUCUCAACUAAAGAAAGAUGUGCUUAAAACACUUAUGAGCUAAAGUAUUUUGGGAGUAGUAUCGAGCACCGAAUUGGGGAAACGAGUUCAUAUUAAACUCAACUCUCCAUAAGAACCAUGUAGCCAAACAUGGGAUUUCUCGGAUCAUACUUUUUAGAUGAUCACGAAAGUUAAGCUAGUGGAUCCAUUAAGCAAAAGUUAAAGUAAGGUCCUAUAUCGAUGGCAAGGUAUAGGAUGGUCCUUGGGCAACGUGAGGUAAAACGUUGUAUCACCACUCAGAUUCAUAGUGGUGGUUUGUCGGUUAGAGAAGCUCCCACAGUAGAAAGAGCAUGGUUCCUCGAGGGUUCUGCUUAGUAUGGAUGGGGGUAUGGGACUUCAUUCAUGCAUUGCACAAGUAGACUUUGAGAGGAAGCAUGGUAUUUUUAUGAUAUUAUAAAUAUGAUUUUUACGUCAUGUUUUAAUAGUUUCAAAAGCUUUAUAUAUAUUGCAUGUGUCUCAUUGCUUUAUAUUAAGUUCAGUUAUUCUUGAGUUGUACAGAGCCAAGGUAAGUUCUCUUUUGUAUCCCUUUUCAAGCUUAAGUUGUUGUUUAGCGGUCCAGCUCGCAUACUCGUACAUUCCAUGUACUGAUGCCAGUUGGCCUGCAUCUUAUGACGAUGCAGACACNNNNNNNNNNNNNNNNNNNNNNNNNNNNNNNNNNNNNNNNNNNNNNNNNNNNNNNNNNNNNNNNNNNNNNNNNNNNNNNNNNNNNNNNNNNNNNNNNNNNNNNNNNCAGUCAGUUAGUUUUGAGUCUCUCAUCUAUGUAUAUAUGUAAAUAUUCUAUUUUGAGACUCGAGUGGCCUUUUUGGCCAGAUGUGUAUCAUUUAAGUUGUUUAUGUCUUUGCAUGGCAUUGAGUUAUUCUGUUGAGUAGGUUUCCGCUGAGUUAAGAAAGCCAGGCCAAGGGUUCGCUUGGGGCCAGCAAUGGUCUCUGAGUGCCGGUCCCGCCCAGGGUGUAGGCUCGGGGCGUGACAUGUUUAUUCAUUCUAGCUUGGUAGCAUUCAUAAUGCAAUCCUAGGGGGCUUUGAGAGUUUUGUGUAUUGUGUGAAGCUAGAGGAAGAAUGUAUGAGACACAAGUAUUACUUUAACACUUGUGUGAACCUCUUUGUAUUCAGAGUGAAUUGUGUGAGGUUAUUCUUCUCUAGAUUUUAUAGUGAUUUUUUCAUCUCCUCUUGUGGAUGUAGAUCGGUUGACCGAACCACGAUAAAUGUUUGUGUCUUUUGAUAUAUUUCUUGUUUGUCUUAUUACUCAUCGUCUUUCAAGGUUUGCUUUGCUAGCUUUUGCAUGACACCUAAUUAUUUCAGUCCCAACAAGUGACAUCAGAGUCAGGUUCAAUGGUUUAAUGAUUCAAUGGUCGAACCAUGUUAAAAAUAAGUGUUCAUCUUGACGGGUUUAGUUCUAGCCGUAACAUAUUUGACAGUAAUGAAGAUUUUUGUUGGAGAAAUAUUUUCAAAGAUGUUUUCUGUGUUGAUAUAUAUAUAUAUAUAUAUAUAUAUAGAUUUUGCAGAGGAGAUGCAAGGUAUUGAAGAUUAUGUGAAGAAGGUGGAUCAAAUUUAUUUUGUCAGAAAUUUAGGCCAAUGGAGAUAUUUGUUUAGUAUUUGUCAUGAAUUUCUUAUCAUAAUUGGGUUUUUUCUUUUAGAAAAAGGAAACCACAAAGUUUCCAUAUUUGGCUAGUUCUUUUUCUUGUAGGAAAAUGUUUGACUCUAAAAUUAUAUGUGUAUUCCUUCUAGCCUAAUAGCAUUUACAAUGUAGUCCUAAGGGGCAUAGAGAGUUUUGUGUAUUGCGUGUAGCUAGGGGGAGAAUGUGUGAGACACAAGUGUUACUUUAACACUUGUGUAAACCUCUUUGUUUUUCCAUUGAAUUGUGUAAGGUUAUUCCUCUCAAUAUUUUGUACUUUCUUUUAUAUAGUGAAUUGCUCAUAUCCUCUUUUGGAUGUAGGUCGGUUGUCCGAACUACGUUGAAUAUUUAUGUCUUUUGGUAUAUUUUUCGUUUGUAUUAUUACUCAUGGUCUUUCAAAAUUUGCUUUGCUAGCUUUUGCCUGAUACCUAAUAAUUUCAGUCCCAACAAAACCAAACGUGAAAGUUGUUUUCCAGCAGACAACUUUUCUAGUAGCUCUACUCUCGACUUGGAUAAUUUAACCAAAAAGGUACGCUUUCGGCCAUUCUACAUGCUGCCUAUGUAGAGACAUGUUUAUCUAAAGUGGAUUCUCUUUUUUGUAGUAGGUAUCAAACCUGUUAUGCCCAUUGACUAAGAAGCUAGGGGUGGACACAACAACUACAUGGACCUCUUUCUUACAUCGGCCAUCACUAUUAAUCGUCUUUGUUAUCACAAUGACCACCACUAUUACCGUCAUCAAACAUCUCUGUCCUCACAAUUACCAUUAUUAUCAACCACUACUAUAUAUCAAACAUUUGCUAUAUUUAUGUUUUUUAUUGACAUAAACAAUGGGUUAACAUGAUAUAAUUUAUUAGUAGUUUUAUAUAUUUUUCUUAUAAUAAAGGAAACAAUCACUUAUACAUUCUUUGAGAUCAUUUAGUUUAAAAUCAGGAGUGGAAUCAUAACUAGGGUUAUAGCUUAGCAUCAAUUCACCUUCUUAAUUAAUGGGAUAAUUUAAUUAGCUAAAUUUGAAUGAAAAGAAGAAGAAAUUGAUUAAUUUAAUUCGUUUACGUUCCAAUGGGGUGUGCAAUAUCCAUAAAUUUGUCAUGUCGUUAUUAGGUGUUCAUGAGAUGCACAUAUUCCAAGCAAAAGUACCUAUUUGAUCACUAGAUGAGUUUAAGUAUUCAAUUUACAAAUUCUGCCAAAUUUGAGGGACUAUCUAGGUAUUAUUUAGAUAAAAUUAUUUGUAUAGUCCACUCUAAACAUACUUAUAAUUAAGCAAGUAACAUAUACUAUAUAAAGAAGCUUCUAGAGAUAAUUAAAGUUAACUCUAUAUAAUUAGAGUUGCAAUAACAAAUACGUCAAAACAUUAAAGUGUUUCACCAAUAAAGUCAUUUUUUUAAUGUCCAAAACUAAUCCAAUGGAAGCUCUAUUAUGUGGAACACCAGAAGAAGUUUCAGUAUUGUUGGUACAUCAUGAAGUAGAAUUUCUUACUAAUCAGACUGUUAAAUUGUUAGAGGCUUAUAAAUACAAAGGUGACAUUCUAGAAUUUUUUUAACUUUUUUGUUUCUUUGAUAUAAUAACUAAAUGCCGUGUGACAUUUUUUUUUAUAUAUAGAGAGAGAUUGAAAUGAUAUGCUUUUUGUUAUCUCAUUUAUGAUUUUAGCAUCGUCCAUUUUUAAAUUUCAUUUAUCUUGUAAAUCUUGAACUUUUCUUUUUCCUUGUUAUCAUAGCACUUUUUAAUUUUUACAAAUUUAUCUAUCCUCGAAGAAAAAUAAUUCUACAUUAGUGAUGGAUGCACAAGAAAUUAGGAUGACGGGAGGGAAGAGAAAGAGCACGAAAAAGACAUGAUAAGAGAUGAUCUGUCUAUCAUUAUUACUUGAGAUAAUAUUUUUUUGUCUUUUAUUGGAUGUAUAAAAAAAAAUGAGGAGAUCUAAUUUUCAUUAAAAAAACAUUUCCCUUUCUAUUUUUUGUUUUUGUUUUUCGUUGGACGUAGACAAAAAAUUGGCAACUCCUUUCUUAUACUUUGUUAGAUCAUCUAAUUACAUAUCUAUGAAAUAAAAUUACCUCAAAACAUUUUAUCCUAUUAUCUUUUGCUUUAAUAUUUAUUUGUUUUUGACAAGCCAUAAAUAAAUUGGAAUAGUUUUUAGAAAUAUAUUCUUUAGGAUCUUCUCUAGUUUUUAGUAAUCCAAUUAACGAAAAAAAAAAACUAAUAUAUACUUUUUAUGUAACCAAUCUAGUUAAGAUUGCACUCAUCAUUUAUAAUAUAAGUUGAUUAAUAUGUGUUAUUUUAAAAAUUAAAGUGCAGAAAUAUAACAUGAAAAUUCACAGUUGAAUUUGAAUAACAAACAAACAUAUCCAAAUGAUACCUUUGUGUACAAUAUUUUUUUUUUCAUAAUUUUCACUGAUUUCAAAUUGCACGGGUAUAUGUAGUUACGGAAGUUAUGGCUCCUGCGGCAAUGUCAAUGCUUUUCAAAGAAAAGAAAAAAAUUGAUGCAAUGAUAAUCAAGGUCAUUUCACCGGAUUCACAUUGCUUUGAGCUCCUGGCACAAGCUGUAACCUUGAACAUCAUCGUAGUAAGUAAGUAUUUAUAAUUCUAUCUUCCACUUAUUAUUAUAGACGGUAAAGUAAGUUUUUUUAAUUAACUAUUGCAUAAUGUAUAUAAUAUUAUUCAAUUUUAAUUGCUAUCUUCUUGAUAUAAUUAUGCAGUUGUCUAUGAUGAACUCAAUGAAUUCUUAGUGAAGAAAGCUUUGGACAAUGGAGCUUACAUUUGCUCGAAGAAGCCUCUUGUCGAGCAAACUAUGACAUUCUUGUGGCAAUUUGUAUGGAGGGAGAAAACACAAAGAGGGAAAUCAAUAAAAAGAGUAGAAACAAAGGGAGAUCAUAUUUUUGUUUGAAGUUAUUGGAGUUCUGAGAAAACAAUAGGUCGUGGUUUUUUCCUCCCUUGAGCAAAGAGGUUUCCACGUUAACAUAUGUGUUCUUACUUUAAGCAUUUAGAUUACUUCUUGUUAUCAGUAUAGUCAAGUGGUCAGAACACGAGAAGACAUGUCACUAAACAACAACAUAUAUAGGAAAAAACAAACUCUGCUAAGUGAUCGAUCCGUGUGUGAUAGUUGCCUUCUUAACCUUGAACUAUUGCUUCCUGCUAGAUUAUAUGAACUUAGAUAUGUAUACAAAUUAGUAUUCAAUGAGUUCCCAAACAUUCGUGCAUAAACAAUUUCCCCUGUUGUCGUGCCACCAGGACUUAGCAUAUGUUCUGUAUUUGUAUAAUUUCGAUGAUGAUCAUGAGAUUGCUGGGAUAAUGGAGGCAUAUUAUUAUUGUGUAUUAGACCGUGACUCCUACAUCUCGAACUAGGAGGUCUUUGUGGUAUGACUAUACCAAAAUUCUAUACCAAAAUUCGGGGCCUUAAUUUCAGAUGUUUUUGUAGCUUGACAGCGACCAUAGAGUGGAAUCAAUGUUUUUUGUGAGACUUCAGCUUUGCAAACAGGGCAAUUUGGUUGUUGGUUAUCGAUGUUCUCUGAUGAAAUGGUCUUAAAAUGUAUCCAUUUGUAGAUGCAAGGCCAACAAUAGGAGGUGACCACAUAAUGUAACAACAGGAUCAUGUACAACAUCUAGGCAAAUGUUGCACUCGAAACCUCCAGGUGAAUUUUCUUCAAGUUUAUCAAGAUCAAUUGUCUCCAUUUUUCAAAGGAAAUAUCGCGUUGAUCAAAGGUAGUUUCUGCUAUUUGGUCUUGAAAAAUUUGUUCUAAGGCCAUAUUUGCCUCUUGGUAUUGAAUUAUUUUGGUAAUGGCAAGAUGAAGAAUGGUUAGAAUUCAGGUUUUUAAUACAAUUAGAAGUGAGUAUUUAUAAGGACAAAGAAUAGUAGUUUGCAAACAAUGAUUCUUAAGGUUGUCACUUGUCAACAUCACAUUAUGUUAAAGGGGCAUGGCCAAAAAGAAAAGGCCCUACACAUUAUUAAACAACACUAUAUCAUAUUACUCAACAGUCUUGAUUUAUGGGGUAUUGUUUGAUUUGAUAUAACAUUUAAUAAGAAAAUGAAGACUUUUAAAAUAUGUACUGUAUUAAAGAUAAAAAAUAAAUUUUAAGUUUUUCGAUCCUAGAAAUGAUAUUCUUUUUAUAUUAAGACUAAAACAAAUGUUUUACAUAAAUUAAGAUAGAUGAACUAUCAAACACAUCAUAAUUAAGUGAUUUAAUGAAGUCAAAAAUAAAUAUUAAUGGAUCAUGGUUAAGUGAGAGGAGUUUUGUGCAAACACGUCUUUUAUCUAUCUAUUUGAUUUAAACAAGCAUAAGUUUUAUCAUAUUAGAAAUAUGAUUAGGACCUUAUAUUAGGCCCCAUGAUAGGAAUCUUAAUCUAGAAAAUAACUUUUAGUCAAUAAAAAGUAGCACUAGUUGCGUACAAGGAGCUACCACUUGAUGACCUUCCACACUUCCACAUCCCAUAAGUUCAAUAGUUUUCACACUAUAAGAACUAGAUGUUUUUUUCCGCGUGAAUCAAUAAAAUUUUUAGUUUUAUGUUAUAAAACAUGAUUUUUUUCAUUUUGAUUUUAUUAAACUAAUUCACUAAGAAAAUUCAUAACGAAACAUAAGUUCUCAUUGAAAUACUGGAAAUAGUCACUUGGAAAUUUAUGAGUUUUAGGAAAUUAUGCAUCAAAACUUAGAAAGACGCGGCUCAUAUAGAAAUUUGUUGUUAAAUCAUAAUAUAUACUUUUACAUCUGAAUAUCUUUAUUGAUUUGGUUAAAAUUAUAAUUAAAAAAAUUACAAUACAAUAUAUAUAGAUUCACAUAAAUUUAAUACUGUAAGUUCAAUUAUUAUUCAAUUAUUAUUAUGAUAUAUUAAUCUAAAAUUAUUAUAGAAGCUUCUAAACUCUAAAUUCAGAUCCAACUAAGGAGUGAAUAUACAUAGUGGGGGUCUGGGGGAUGGGAGAAAACAUAUGGACGGUGUGACAAAUAAAUAAAAGAAAUACUCCGUCCAUUCCAUUUGACUUAGUAUUGUUUGACUUAAUACGAUGUAUAAGAGAAAAAAAAGAUUUUAGAAAAUUAUAGGCUAAAACAAUUUUUAUAUAUUUAUAUAAUUGUAAAUCAUUUCAUUAAUUAAGGGUAGAUGGAGAAUUUUAAGUUUAAUUAUUUUCAAUUACAAUAAAAUGACAUUUUUAAAGACGGAUUAUGAGAAUAGAGUGCCACGUAAAAUAAAACGAGAAAAUACUACUCCCUCCUUCCCAUUUUAUAUGUUACCUUUUUACUUUACAUUUACAUUAAGAAAUAAUGUAACUUUACCCUUCUACCCUUAUUUAAUGUUUUCUUAAGUUAACUUUAUAACUCCCUCCGUCCCAUUUUAUAUGUCAUCUCUUUCUAUAAAUAGUUGGACCACAAUACUUGUCAUUUUAUAAAAUUUAUGUAUAAAUUACCAUAUUUUACCUAUUAUAUCCUUGAUAGAGUAGUUAAUUAAUCUUGAAAAUAUAUUCAUCAUUUAUUAUAAAUUGACUUAAGAAAAUAUUAAAUAAGAAUAGAAAGAUAAAAUUACAUCAUUUCUUAAUAAAAGUAUAAAGUAAAAAUGUGACGUAUAAAAUAGAACGGAGGGAGUACUACAAAAGAACGAGUCCGCACAUGCAUUAUACAAGUACUACAUGUGUCUCGAAUUUAGCAGCCUUUUGUCAACUUUUUAUAUUUUGGCUUACUUGGAAGCAAGUCUAUCCUCUCCUAUACAAUCAAUUAGGGUGGCCAUUAAUCAUAUAUUAUUAGGCUAAAGAUAACAUAUUGCUCCCUCCGUUUUUAAUUAUUUAUCCAUUUUUUUAGUUAUUCCUAAUUACUUGUCUAUUUUUACAAAUCAAGAAAGAACAAUUUUUUUUACCUAUUAUACCGUCAAUUUAUUACUUUGAAAAAAGUAGAACUUUUUGAAAAUCUUGAGUUUUUAAUUCAUCCACUUCAUAAUUAAUAUGGAUAAAAUGGUAAACUCACUAUUUCAAUAAUUGUUUUCUUAAUAGGUGUGCCAAUUCAAAAAUGGACAAGUAAUUAGGGAUAGAGAAAGUAUAUCGAAAUAAUAUAAUAAGAUAUUAUGCUAAAGAUAAUUAACAAAACUUUGAACAAUUAUAAAUAAGAUAGCAAAAAAAUCCAUAGUAAAUUAACAUGGUUCAACGAUUAGUGAUGGAAUCUGAAUAUGAUUCAGGAUUUUCACUAUUAAUGAAAUUCAAAAGGAAUAAUACAUAAAUGUGCCCUUUAACUUGACUUCAUUUUAUGUUUAUGUCCUUCAACUUUGGGUAUACACAAAUAUGCACCUAAACUUGUAUAAAGUUGAACAACUAGACACAUGAGUCCUACAUGACACAAUACACAUAAGAUACCACGUAGGAUAAAAAAUGCCAUGUAGGACAUGUGUGUCUAUUUUUUCAACUUUAUACAAAUUUAAAUAUCUACUUGUGCACACCCAAAGUUGAAGGGCAUAAAUGUGAUUUGAAGCCAAGUUAAAGGGUAUAUUUAUGUAUUAUGCCUAUUCAAAAUAUGAAUAAAUAAACAUAUAAAUUAGCUGACUACAAUAAUAGACAGAUAAAAAAUAAUUUUAACUAUAUGUAUAAAUAAUAUAAUUUUUCAUCGAAAGAGGUUCAUCUGAUUCCUCACUACUUUCUCUCAUUCAAAACUAAGCAAUAUGAGACUUUCAUGUCACAUGGAACCCUUUUUUUUUUUUUUGGAAAUCUCAGUAGUUCAGUUAAUUGACUGACUAUCUGAAUUCUCGAUUUCCCAUGUUGUAAUCCUCUACCCCAAUUUUUUUAUUACCUUCCUCACAUAUGUAUAAGACCGAAUCCAAAUAUCUAAGAUGAGAGAAUUUUGGGAGAGCCACCGACUCCAACUACUGCCAUAUAUUAUCCAUAUUAGAUUUGACCAACUAUCCAUCCUACCCUCCUCUACGUUCUUGACAACCCAUUUUUGUCUUAGUCAAGUCUUUUAGUGGCACGUUUUGAUCCUCUUUUCAAUUACUUAGAAAAAGUGAGUUAUUAUUCAGAUACAAAAUACUAUCAUUAUCGCCUAAAAAAUUAGACAUUCAACCCGUAAUCACAAUGAUCCAAUUACAAAAGCUCCGAACCCCCUAGGUCUAGACUGGCUCUGGCCCUAGUUUUAUCUCUUGACCUUCACAUGAGUAAACUCGUUGAUAUAGAGGAUUACAGUAUUGAUUUCUUUAAAAGAAAAAAACCUUAAUUUAAGGUAUGGAGGCCUAGAAAGGAAACACACGUUAUAUAUGGAGCCUGUUCUGGCCUAUACAGUAUAUAUGUACAUAAAAUUUGGAGUAUCUAAAGAACCACUGACAAAUGGCUACGAAAGAUCAUAUACAAUUAAAUUACAAGCCAUUUGCAAUCAUCCUGCCACCUUAAGCAGAAAAAAUGAAAACGAAUAAAACAAACACUCACACAUUUGGCUUCUGAUUUGACAUUUAUUUCAGAGAACUGGCUAGUCCUCAGAACACCUUAACUACUCGCUGCAGAAAAAGAAAAAAAAGACGCAAAAAAUGGAAAAUAAUAUGUUAGAUGUCCCAUAAUUAAGGAACAAGAGAACAUUAUAGCAAGAAUGAGCAUGCAGGUACGUAUAAGAACUUACACAUUAUUGCGGCAAGAAGCAACUUCUUUCUCAAAGUCAUCAUCAUCAUCAUCAUCUUCAUCUGUUGUCACACUAUCGAAAAUGCUUGCAACAAAAGAUGAAAAAUGAAAUGUUACACUUCCCAAAAUCAAGAAUGAACAUGCAAGUAUAACAAGUUACAAAAUAUUGGAAGGAUUCGAAUCAAUCACAAUGACAGCAUCAAGAACUUUUGUUGAAUUGAUGCAAUUUGACUUACUAAAGCUAUUAUCCAGAUUAUUAUCGAGUUUACUAUGAUGAUGAGUUAAAUAUUGUUGUAAAUCAAGGAAGAAGAUGUCUUACAAAAGAUUCACGAGUAUGGACCUCGAUAGAGCUUCCAUAGUUGUCUUGAAUGUCCUGUUGAAUUUGCUUGGCGGAAUUCCCAACAGAUUGUUUACAGUCACUUAUAUCAAUAAGAGCUAGUGUGGUUAUAUCUGCAAAAUCUCGAGGGAUUGAAUCCAAAGAAUAGCAAUCUUUAAGAAAAAGUCGUUCAAGGUACGGAAAGUGAUCACUACUAGCUCUCCAGUACCGAAUGUAUACUCUAUCCAGAAACAAGAACUUUAAGUGAGGAAACCCUUCCUCAACUACUUCCCACUCCUCGCCUAUGAAGGCAUUGUCUGAUAGUUUAAGGACCUCGAGUUUGGAUAAUUUACCAACAAUGCUCAAAUCCUUCCAUGCCAAAGAAAAUUUUCCCCUAAAAGUUAAACUCUUAAGGUUUUGUGGAAAAGCAUCCGGAGGAGGUAAGAGUAAAGUUGGAACAUCAGUUGGAGGUGCAGUUCCCCCGAAACGAGUCUGAAACCUCAGAGGAUCUUGCGGAGUAGAACCUGAAGGUGCAGUGUUUUUUAGAAAGCAAGCAAUAGGUGAAUAAUAAAUACCAAAUGUCAAUUUCUCGAGCUGAUAUAAGUAGCGAAAAUCAUACAGGUCCUUGUGAUUGCGAAAGUCCUCUGGGACGCCAAAUACUUUCAACUUCUUUAAAUUGGGAAAUAGUCUAAAAAAAGACCCUGUACAAUACCGAGGAUUCAAUUGAUUGAGGCAUUGCAAACUUUUCAAAACCAAUCUGUUCUCUGUAGGCUCAUGACUCUGCAAGUAAUUCCAGCCCAUAUGCAGCUUCCUCAAUUGUGGCAUCGUCAAAAUUUCCGAUGGUAAUAUGAAAGGAUAACUACUAUUGGGAAAUGGAAGGUAAAGUUUAAAAGUUUGCAGAUAGCAUAGGCUUGAUAUCGAUAGAGGAAUGUCUAUUAUUGAUGAGGGAACAGCUUCUUUCGAUCCUCGAUACUGCUUUAAGCAAGGCUUAAAACACAAAGAUAGGUAUCUCAAAUGAAAUAGAGAAAGUACUCCACUGGGAAAAAAUGGGCAUAUAGUCAAACCAAGAUCUAGUACUCUUACUAGCUUGAAAGACAAUGCCAGUGUGACGCAUUUGAAUCCACCCAACAUGAUAAUAGAAUGAGCCUCACUGCUACAACACCAAACCAAUUUUUUCUCAUUAUGGAUUCUGAUCCGAUUUCGACUCUUAAAGGAACACUGCAUGGAUUGUUCACAUGAAUUUUGAUAACUCUUUCCUCUGAUAACAUUCACAAAAUUCAUGUUUCGAGCUUCCCUCAAACAGAGUUCACGGGUCACAUCAUGCAUUCCACAACUUUCUAUUGUUCCACGAAAACUAAAAUUGUGGAUGAAAAUUAAGCUUCUAUCUAUAAGUUCAUUUAUACAUGUUGUUGCCACCUCUUCUAUGCUUUUUCCCUCUUCUUCAUUCAAAAACCCCUCUACGGCCCAUAAUUCAACAAGUUUAUUUACAUAAAUCUGUUCAUCCUCUGCGAAAAUUGCAAAAUACAGAAAACACGGUUUUAGGUGAGAAGGCAAGUGAUGGUAACUCAAAGCCAACACUCUCAUGCACUUUGCUUCAAGAUCUGUGCUUACCACUGAACUUACAUUCUCCGCAACAUAUUGCCACACACCCAAUGUUUUACUGAUUUUGGAGAGAAGUCCAGCAAUCACAGUAAUUGCUAGAGGUAACCCUCCACAUUUUAAUGCAAUUUGUUUCCCAAUAUUUUCAAAUUCAGGAGAAUAAGAACCUUCUUUUUCAAAGAUCUUUUUGUGUAGUAAAUUCCAACUUUCGUCAAAAUUCAUGAGGCGCAUGUGAUGAGGAGGCUUACCUGACCUAGCACAUUCAGCCACUUCCACAUUCCGAGUAGUCAGGAGUAUUCUGCUUCCAUUAUAACAGUCUGGGAAACAUAGUUUUAUAUCAUCCCAAGCUUCUGUAGUCCAUAUGUCAUCAAUGACUACCAAGUAUCUCCUGCCUUUCAGAUGCUUCUGCAAUCGGUCCGCUAGCUGAUCAUCAGGUUCAUCACUUAUCGAAGGAAGAAGGCCUAGGAUUACAUUUCUCACACAAUACUCUUGUGAAACAGUUGCUUUUGCACGAAUAUCAAAUCGAGACAUAAUGUAAGGAUCACUAUAGAGUUUUGUAGCCAAAGUUGUUUUCCCGAUACCUCCCAUCCCUACGAUUGAGACAACUUCUAGUUCCCUUCCUCCUCUAGCAAGUUGAUCCAGCAUCAUCUCAAAUUCAUUUUCACGGCCAACCAUUAUAUUCUCGGGCUGCUCAACAGCAUGUUCAGGUAAACUGACAAGUGAGCUAGUUUGUGGUUUUAGAUCUUUCAUGCUGUCCGAUGCUGCCAUCCACUGUUUCACGGUGGAAGCAAUGCAUUCUAGUGCUUGUUCCAAGACGAAAAAAAUCUCCCACAUAGCCCUGCUUCUUUCCUCCAAAUUCUGUGCUAAAAAAACAUUUCUUGAUUCCGAGUCAACCAUAUCUUCUGUUGUGUAUGCUACCUCUGCGAUUUCAACUUCCAAGAUUGUUAACCCCUCAUGAUCGCCCAUUAUAUUGCAGGAUUUCUCCAGAAUAGCUCUCAAAGAUUUGAGCUUUUCAUAAAACGGUUGCAAAUCACAUCCAGUAAGUUCCAUUGAUUGAUGUAUGGUUCUCAUAAGGGAAGUAACAGCAGCAUAAGCCAUAUAUCCAAAAAAUAGAAAUAUCUCUCAGUAUGAAAAUGGACAAAUUGCCACAAGUUAUGUAAUUUUUCAGUUUUUAAGAAAACAGAAAAUGCAAAGUUCUUUCUUUUACUAGCUAUUUCCAUCACAUUUCCAGCUAGGUCCACCAACCUUAUCAUCAUGUAGACAAAAGCAGAGACCAAAGUUAAAAAAAAAAGAAAAAAGGCAGGACUCUAACAGGAAAAAGUAGAAAAAAUUGUGACCAUUCAUUAUUAGACCCUACACUUAUCUAUUCAUGAAUAUAGGUAUGUUUCUUACAUACAAGAGAUUGAUGAUUUUAAUUCCAUUGAAAGCAACUUCGUAGAAUUUUCCAAAUCAAAGAGAGAGAAAUAUUAAGAUCCAAGUAGGAAUUUCUCUAUUCCUAGUUCGAUUCAAUUAACCAAGCAUAAAUAUCUCUUUAAAUAUAUAUGAGAAGUUUAGACUCUAAAAGUCAAAUCAACAAAAUAUUUAUGGGCUAACACAUGAAAAACUAUUGAGAAAAUUGCCUAAUUUCUGUAAAUUGGCCCUUAAAUCUCCAAAAUGGACUCUAAAAAUUGUCAGACUGUACGUAUUGCUCCCAACUCCCUACUAAGGGUUCUGUAAUUUCGAUUAGAAUUCGCCCGUAAGUCAUAUCACCAAUAUAUUAAUGACUAACACACACGAAAAACUAAGAAAAUUGUCUAAUUUCUUGAAAUUGGCCCCUAAAUGCCUAAAAUGGACUCUAAAAAAUUGUCAGACUGUACGUAUUGCUCCCAACUACCUACUAAGGGUUCUGUAAUUUCGAUUAGAAUUCGCCCGUAAGUCAUAUCACCAAAAAUAUUAAUGGGCUAACACACACAAAACACUGAGAAAGUCGCCUAUUCCUGUAAAUUGGCCCCUAAAUGCCCAAAAUGAACUCUAAAAUUGUGAGACUAUGUACUGCUCCACUAACUCCCUAUGGAGGGUUCCGUAAAGAUUUCACAAAGAAAUUAUUCGGAAGAUAUAUCACCAAAAUAUUUAUGGGCUAAUACAUUUUUAUUUGUCCAUUUGAUUUGAUAUAUCUUUCAAGUACUUUGAUCCGGUUAUACUUUUUUUUUAUUGCUAAAAAUAAAUAUCCACUUUUACUUGUUCAUUCUACAAAACAAAGACAAUAUUUUAUUGCUUGAUUCAGAUAUAAAAUUUGAGUAGGCUAAUUUACAAACCAUCUGUAGUCAUCCUGCCCCUAUGCUAUAACAUUUGAAAGAAAGAGGUCAUCAUCAUCAUAUUCAUCAUCGUUGUCAUCUUCAUCUUCAUCUUCAUCAUCAUCUUCAUCUUCAUCAUCAUCUUCAUCAUCAUCUUCAUCUUCUUCAUCAUUAUCAUCAUCAUCAUCAUGAUCGUCAUCGUCACUUGUUUCCUCACUGUUGAAAAAGCCAGCAACAAAAGAUGAAAAAUGAAAUGUUAUGCAAGUAUAACAAGUUACACAAUUACUAUAUUGGAAGGAUUUAAAUCAUAUACAAUGACAACGUAUGAACUUUUACACUAUAGGUGCCAUUUAACUGCUUAUUAAAGCAACUUAUAAUUAUUUUAUUACUAGUUCUGGACACAUGCUUUGCAUGUGUAUAUUACACGUUUAGUCACGAUUGUAAGAGGGUGUACACCAGGAUCAUUCGAAGAGCAAAGUCGUGUGAGCCUUACAGAUAUUCUUGACGUACUCCUAUUAAAAUCUGUAUCAUAAUAUCUGAUGAAAUCAGCUACUGAUCAGUCAAGCUCUCCAUUGAUGUAGACUUCAACUACACAUGAGAAAGAAUGAGAGAAGAAGAGAGAAGAGAAGAGAAGAAGAAUCUAGAAGAGCAACAUGAAAAUUAAUCUCUCAUUGAAUGUGAAUUAAAACUACAAGAAUUACAAUGUGACUAUAUAUAUAUAAUCACUGGCAGAAAUUAACUAACUAACAAACUUGAUUCUAACUAACUCUACUGUACAUAGAUUCUAACUAACUCUACUGUACAUAACCGACUCUACUGUACAUAACUAACUAAUUAUACUUUAUAUUCUCAUCACCCCCCCUCAAGUUGGAGGUGAUGUAAUUACAGACAACUUGUGCAAUAAGGCAGUAUGUUUAACUCCAGUCAGAGCCUUGGUGAAGAUGUCUGCCAACUGUGAAUCAGUGGGAAUAUGAUGGAGUGUGAUUAGGCCUUGUUGAAGCUUGGUCCUAACAAAGUGACAAUCGAUUUCUAUGUGCUUUGUCCUCUCAUGAAAAACUGGAUUCUUUGCAAUGUGGACUGCUGCUUGACUGUCACAAUGGACAGGGAUAGGUAAGGAGCAUUGUACAGUCAACUCAUCCAACAAUCGUUCAAGCCACACUAGUUCUCCUACAACUUGUCUCACAGCUCUAUAUUCAGCUUCAGCAGAUGACAAAGACACUGUUGCUUGCUUCUUAGACUUCCAGCUGACAGGACUAUCACCCAGAAGCACUAGGUAUCCACUAACAGACUUCCUGGAAUCAGGGCAAGCAGCCCAAUCAGAAUCACAAUAAGCACUGAUAGUGAGAUCAGGCUUGUUUGAGAUAAAAAUUCCCAAUGUUGGAUCCUGUUUCAAAUAUCUGAGCACAUGGUAUGCUGCUUUUAAAUGUGGUUCCCUAGGUGAUUGCAUAAAUUGGCUCAAGUGUUGUAUACUAUAAGCUAUGUCCAUUCUAGUGUUGGUCAAAAAAUUUAGCUUACCAACCAACUUCCUGUAUUGAGUAGGAUCAGAUAAAAGAUUGCCAUCUGUAGCUGUUAACUUCUCAGUGCAAUCAAGUGGUGAUGUAGUGGCCUUGUGACUUAACACAUCAAAAUCUUUCAGGAGAUCAGAAGUGAAUUUCCUUUGUGAAACUAGCACUCCAUCAUGUCUGUAUAAUAUUUCCAGUCCCAGAAAGUAGUGUAGUUUGCCCAAAUCCUUUAUCUUGAACUGAUCAUUUAAGAAGCUCUUUAAGGAGUUGAUUUCAGCCACAUCUGUUCCAGUUAGAAUUAUGUCAUCCACAUAUACAGCAACAAACACCAAGGAGCAGCCCUUCCUUUUGUAGAACAGUGAGUAAUCACUGUCUGAGUGCUGAUACCCUCUUGAACAUAGACAGUUUGCCAACUUCUCAUACCAUUGCCUGCUGGCCUGUUUUAGUCCAUACAAAGACUUCUUCAAUUUGCACACCAUGUUAUCACAACCUACUACAAGACCUUGUGGAGGUGCCAUGUACACUUCCUCAUGCAAAUCACCAUGUAAGAAUGCAUUAUUGACAUCUAGCUGAUACAAGCUCCAAUCUUUCUUAACAGCUAAAGAGAUUAAUGUUCUAACAGUAGUCAUUUUAACUACAGGUGAGAAGGUUUCAGUGUAAUCUACCCCAACUUGUUGUGUAUAACCUUUGACCACCAACCUACACCCCAGCUUGUUGUGUAUAACCUUUGACCACCAGCCUAGCCUUGAACCUCUCCACACUCCCAUCAGCUUUGUGCUUGAUUUUGUACACCCACUUGCACCCAAUAGCUUUCUUCCCAUCAGGUAACAUGACCAUCUCCCAAGUGUCAUUAGCAUACAAAGCUUCAAACUCCUGUGUCAUGGCCUGCUGCCAGGCAGGGUGCAAUAUUGCUUCCUCAAAUGAAAUAGGCUCACAUUCAUGUGAAAUGGUUGUUACUAACUGCUGACUAUCAGAACAAAGACUGGUGAAACAUACAUGUUUAUGGGGAGAUAUAAAGGAAGUGAGGGAGUGCAGCUUAGGUAUAGUGUAGGUGUAUUCUUUUAGGUAAUUAGGAGUGUGUAUGGUUCUGGUUGUUCUUCUAGGUGCUGAUAUUGUAGGUACUGGUAAAGUAUCAUGAUGCAUGGUGGCAUUUGGAUCAGGUAAGGUAGGUUGAGUUGUAGUAGGUUGAGUUGUAGGUUCAUGUAGGACAGCAGGUGGUACUUCAUUCAUGUUGGUAUUACUGGUUACUUGAUUAUUAGUGACUUCAUGUGGUGUGAAAUUUUCCAGUUGAUCAUCAUUAGCAAAAAUGUUCAUUUUACCAGACAUACAAGGCAUGCUAGUGGUAUGAGUAAGCAUUUGCAGAAUGGAAUUGAAACUAGAACCAUCAGGGGCAAUAACAAAAGGAAAAAUAUUUUCUUGAAAAAUAACAUCUCUUGAUAUAUGAACUUUCUUGGUAGCUAAAUUCAAAACUUUGUAACCUUUUGUAUUGAAAGGGUAACCAACAAAAACAUGAGGUGUGGUUCUAGGUUCAAAUUUAUCUUUGUGAGUUUUCAAGGUAGUGGGGAAACAAAGACAACCAAAACUCUUAAGGUGGGAAUAUGUAGGUGAUUUAUGGUACAACAUUUCAUAUGGAGAUUUAUUCUGUAAAAGUUGAGUGGGCAGUCUAUUAAUCAGGUAUGUGGCAGUCAAUACACAUUCCCCCCAGUACCUCAUAGGCAACUUUGACUGAAACAAAAGUGCCCUUGCUGUUUCAAGUAGGUACUUAUGUUUCCUUUCUACCACCCCAUUUUGUUGAGGUGUAUAAGGACAAGUUCUUUGGUGUAUGAUACCUUGUUUUGGAAGAAAUUUGUGGCUUCAGCUGAAGUAAACUCUAACCCAUUGUCAGAUCUUAUGGCUUUUUAACUUGGUUUGGAAUUGGUUUUCUAUGAGAGAUAUGAAGGCUUUGAUAGUUUGGAGAGCAUUACUCUUACAUCUCAGCAAUUGUGUCCAAGUGGACCUACUGUGGUCAUCUACCAUAGUGAGGAAAUAAUGAUAUCCAUCAUGAGUGGGAACAUGAUAUGGUCCCCAUAGGUCAACAUGUAACAACUCAAACACUUUAGUGGUGGUGGUGAUACUUUCUGGAAAAGGCAUCCUAGUUUGCCUAGCCAUAGGGCAUAUAUUGCAAGUAAAAGGCUGUUUAGGAGAAAAAUGAACAGGUAUAGUUGAGAUAUUUUUCAUUUUUACAAAAGGUACAUGUCCUAAUCUAGCAUGCCACAAAAGUUCAUCAUCAUGAGUGUGAUUAGAGACAUUUGUAAAUGAAGGACAAGCAUGAGUAAAACAAGAGGAAGGAAAAACAGUACAAUCUGCCUUAUUCAUAGGAGAGUAUUUUACAGAAGAACCAGUGGACACAUUAGAAUCUGAAACCCUGCUAGUAUUGCCUAAAGAAGAGACAAGAGGACAAUUAACAUGAGGUGCUUUACUCUCAGCAGAUGGACAACAAUUGUGGCAUUUGUGACACAAGAAGUACAGGCCAUUCUUGGCUUUACCAAGUUCCAGAGGGCUCUUCAGAGAAGGGCCCUGCAGCAAACAAGAAGAUUUGUCAAAGCUGACUACACCAUUGAAUUGUAGUGCUAAACAAUGAACAGAAAUGAGAUUAAACUUGAAGCUAGGUACAAACAACACUUUGCUUAGAGUCAAAGCUGGAUUUAAACAAGCAUCACCAAUUUCAGUCACUUUAACCUUGUAACCAUUAGGGAGUGAAAUUAGAAAGGGAUAUGGAAGUGAAAUGAUGUUUGUGAGGGUGGUCUUAUCAUAGGUCAUAUGGUGUGAUGCUCCUGAAUCUAUGAUCCAAGAGCCAGCAGUCAGUUUAACACAUUUACAAGAAAGAUCACCUAUAUCAGUAAUAGAGGAAUAACAUGCAAGUAUACCUGCCAAGUUCACAGCUCCAUUCAGCAUGUUGUUUGAGUUGUCUGAGGCUCCAUUUCCAACUUGUAAAGUUCCCAGGAGAUUGAGUAGUUGUUCAUAUUGAUCUUUGGACAAGUUCAAUGGCAUUUGUCUCCUUACUUCAGGUUCCUCUUCAGAUUGAACUCCAUUCAUAUCAGGGGCACACACAUUUGCUGCAGCUUUUCCCUUUUUGAACCUUGGAUUUGGAUUGGAUGGGUAUCCAUGAAGCUUGUAACAUCUAUCCUUUGUGUGUCCUGAUUUCUUACAGUAGUCACAAAACAAAGAAGACUUGCCAGUGCUAGAAUUGCCUCUAAACCCAGUAUUACCAGAAUUGGUUCCACCUCCUCCAGAUGAACUGUAGUUUGUCCGGAAUCCCCUGUAUCCUGCACUGCUGUUGGUCUGUCCAUAAGCAUUGAGAGAGGUAGAAUCCAAGGCUGUAUGAUUAUGAGGCUUCACCUCCCUUUGUUUUUCCUCUUGGGAUAAUAUGGCAAAAGCUUGAGCCAUGCUUGGAAGUGUGUUCAUCAUGAGAAUGCUGCCUCUGACAGUCGUAUAUAUCUCAUUCAAUCCCAUUAGAAAAUGUAUCAAUCUUCUGUCUUGUUCAGCCUUGUGUAAUUUGCUUUUACCCCCACAAAUGCACACACAAGUACACUGAGAAUUGACAUCAAUGGUACUCAUUUCCUCCCACAACUUCUUCAUUCUUGUGUAAUAUCCAGUGAUGUCUAAAGUGCCUUGGACCAGAUCAUUAAUUUCCUUCUGCAGUUGAUACAAUUUACACCCAUUGGUUUGAUCGUACCUUUCUUCUAGUUCUCCCCAAAGCUCCUGAGCAUUAUUGACAUACUGCAGACUAUCACGCAAAUCUGGUGACAAGGAAUUCAGGAUCCAAGAUGUGACCAUAUCAUCACACCUUUCCCAUUGCUGAAAGCUAGGAUCAGUAGGAUCAGGUCUCACAACCUUCCCAUUAAUGAAUCCUGUCUUGCUCUUAACAGAUAAAGCCCUGAGAACUGCUCUUCUCCAGGAUCUGUAACCAGUUCCAUCAAAAACUGCAGGUAAUAGGGAUGAACUUGCAUUCUCAGAUGGAUGCAAGUAGAAAGGACUAGGGAUUUCUACCCUAACAGUGGAUGCAGAAGCAUUUGGAAUGGAAUCAUUUGAAGAAUCGACCAUUGUGAAUUGAAAAUUGGGAAGAAGAUCAAGUCGAGAACAACCAGAUCAAACAGCGUUCACAAACAAAAUUGACAGAUCGAAGAUCCAGUCGAGAUCAACCAGAUCAAAGAAAAAAUUCACAUAAGAGAAAACGAAGCUCACAGAUUGAAUUGGAAACAAAAAAAAACAGGAGCAAUUCCCUGUGCUUUGAUACCAUGAUGAAAUCAGCUACUGAUCAGUCAAGCUCCUCCAUUGAUGUAGCUUCAACUCACAUGAGAAAAGAUGAGAGAAGAAGAGAGAAGAGAAGAGAAGAAGAAUCUAGAAGAGCAACAUGAAAAUUAUCUCUCAUUGAAUGUGAAUUAAAGAAGUGAGUAUUACAAUGUAUCUGUAUAUAUACACAAUCACUAAGCAACUAAUAAUCAUUGGCAGAAAUUAACUAACUAACAAACUUGAUUCUAACUAACUCUACUGUACAUAACCGACUCUACUGUACAUAACUAACUAAUUAUACUUUAUAUUCUCAUCAAUAUCCCUUUUUUCAAAUUUCAUAGCUGAACUACUAGGUGUGCGAGUUCCUACCAGAACUAUUACCAACUAUUUAUCAAAACACACAUCAACUAUAUAUGAGUUGUUCCCUUUUACUAGUGGUGAAAAAUAGGUGGAUUUGGACGGGACUGAAAAUGGAUUGAGCAACAUGGUCGUAACUCACUUUAAUCUCUUAAAGCCAGAAAACUUUAAAGAGUUAAUUGAAAUAAACUUAAUGACUAUCCUACUUGAAGUAUCACCAUCGUUCAGGUAAGAAAAAGGAAGUAAAUCAAGGAAGACGAUGUCUUACAAAGCCUGAUGGAUAUGGACCUCGAUAGAACCUCCAUAGUUGUCUUGAAUGUCCUGUUGAAUCUGCUUUGCGGAAUUCCCAACAGAUUCUGGGCAGUUUCUUAUAUCAAUUAGAGCAAGUGUGGUUAUAUCUGCAAAAUCUUGAGGGAUUGAGUCCAAAAACCUGCAACUAUCAAGAAAUAGUCGUUCAAGGCACGGAAAGUGAUCACAACUAGCUCUCCAGUACUGAAUAUGUGAUCUUUUAAGUAACAAGAACUUCAAAAAAGGAAACCCUUCCUCAGCUACUUCCCACUCCCUGCCUCUGCAUACACCCUGUGUUAGUUCAAGAAGUUCAAGUUUGGGCAAUUUUCCGACAACAAUGCUUAAAUCCUUCCAUGACAAGAAGAAAUUUCCUGUAAAAGUUAAAUUCUUAAGGUUUCGUGGAAAAGCAUCUGGAGGAGGUAAGAUCAAAGAUGGAACAACUUCUACAACAAGUGGAUUCCUUGUCUGAAAACACAUUCUCCUCUCCAAAAAGUAAGCAUUAUUUUGAGGAGGAAGACAAAAUGCUAGUUCCUCGAGAUGAUCUAAGUAGCGAAAAUCAUAGAGGUCUUUGUGACUAUGGAAGUCUUGUGGGAUGCCACGUACUUGCAACUCCUUUAAAUUGGGAAAUAGUCUAAAGAAAGAUGCAGUACAAUAGCUAGGAUUCCAUCCAAACAGAGAAUGUAAAUUUUUCAUAACCAAACUUUUCUCUGUAAGCUCAUGAUAUCGCAAGUAAUUCCGAUCCAAAUGAAGGUGCCUCAACUGUGGCAUAGUCAAAAUUUCUGAUGGUAAUAUCAAAGCAUGUUUACGAAGAUUAAUAACGAGUGGAAGGUAAAGUACCAAACUUUGCAGAUAGCAUAGGUUUGAUAUGGAUGUAGGAAUGUCUACUCUUGAUGAGAGAACAUCUUCUUCGGAUCCUAGAUAUUGCUCAACGUUAGGAUAAAUACGCAAAGCUAGGUGUCUUAAGUGAAUCAAAUAAAGUAUUUCACGGGGAAAAGUUAGACAGAUAUUAUCAGCAAGAUCUAGAACUCUUACUAGCUUGAACGGCAAGUACUCCCUCAUGCAACAUCGGAAUCUACCAAAUAAGAUAACAGAAUGAGCUUCACUGUUAAGGCACCUAACAUACUCUUUCUUAUUAUGGAUGCUGAUUCGACCUCGACUCUUAGACAAACACUGCAUAGAUUUCACACAUGGAUUUUGAUCAUUCUUACUUCCGAGAACAUUCACAAAAUUCAUGUUACGAGCUUCCAUCAUACAGAGUUCACGAGUCGUAUCAUGAAUUCCACAACACUUAAUUUUUCCAUCAAAAGUAGUACUUUCUAUGGAAAUUAAACUUCUAUCAAUAAGAUCUUGUAGGUACUUUUCUGCCACUUCUUCUAUGCUUUUCAUCUCUUCUACCUUCAAAAAUCCCUCUGUUUCCCACAAUAUCAUAAGUUUAUUGACAAAAAUCAGUUUAUCCUCUGGGAAGAUUGCGAAAUAUAAAAAGCAUGGUUUUAGGUGGUGAGGCAAGUAAUGGUAACUCAUUGCCAACACCCUCAUGCAUUGGACACCAACAUCUGUGCUUACUGCUGAACUUACAUUUUCAGCAACACUUUGCCACUCACUCAAUGCUUUGUCAAUUUUAGUGAGAAGUCCCGCGAUCACAACAAUUGCUAGAGGCAAUCCUCCGCAUUUCAAUGCAAUUUGCUUUCCAAGUUGUUCAUAUUCAGGGGAGAAAGAGUCUUUCGUAAAGACUUUUUCAUACAAUAAACUCCAACUUUCGUCAAAAUUCAUGAGGCGCAUGUGAUAAGGAGGCUUACCUGAGCUAGCAUAUUCAGCCACUUCCACAUUCCGAGUAGUCAAGAGUAUUCGGCUUCCAUUAUGAAAGUCUGGGAAACAUAUUUGUAUAUCAUCCCAAGCUUUUGUAGUCCAUAUGUCAUCAAUGACUACCAAAUAUCUCUCACCUUUUAGAAGCUUUUGUAGUCGAUCUGCUAGUUGCCCGUCAUGUAGCUGAUCAUAAGGUUUAUCACUUAUACAAGAAAGAAGGUCUAGGAAAACAUUUCUCACACAAUACUCUUGUGAAACAGUAGCUUUAGCACGAAUGUCAAAACGAUACAUCAUGCAUGGAUCGUUGUAGAGUUUCGUAGCCAAAGUUGUCUUGCCAAUGCCUCCCAUACCUACAAUUGAUACAACUGCUAGUUCUCUUUCUCCUCUAGCAAGUUGAUCCAGCAUCAUCUUGAAUUCAUUUUCAUAGCCAACCAUUAUAUCCUCGGACCGCUCAACAGCACGUUCAGGUAUCUUGGAUAGACAAAAAUUUUGUGCUUUGAAAUCUUUAAAGUUGUUGUACCAGUCCCAUAUUGCCAACCACUGCAUCAUGAAGGAAUCAAUGCAUUCUACCUCUUGUUCCAAGGAACAACAGAGUUCCCAGAAAGCUUUGCUUCGUGUAAUUACAGUUUCUGCGGAAGAAACUUUUCUUGAUUUCGAAUCAACCAUGUCUUCUGCUUUGUAUGCUACCUCCGCGAUUUCAACUUCCAAGGUUGUUAACCCCUCAUGAUCUCCCGUUAUAUUGCAGGAUUUCUCCAUAAUAGCUCUCAAAGAUUCAAGCUUUUCAUAGAAUGGUUGCAAAUCACAUCCAGUAAGUUCCAUUGACUGGUGUAUGGUUCUCAUAAGGGAAGUAACAGCAGCAUAAGCCAUAUAUCCAAAAAAUAGGAAUCUCUCACACUCAGUAUGAAAAUGGACAAAUUAAUUGCCACAAGUUAUGUAAUCUUUCUUUUACUAACUAUUUCCAUCACAUUUCUAGCUAGGUCCACUAACAGGUAAAGUAGAAAGAUGUGAGGUCCCUAACCUUAUCAUCAUGUAGACAAAAGAAGAGACCAAAGUUUUUAAAAAAAAGACAGGAAAAAGUAGAAAAAUUUGUGAUCAUUCAUUAUUAGACCCUACACUAAUCUCUUUAGAAAAAUAAACUAAAAUUUUAGUUUAAAUAAAGGAGUUCAAGCUGUAUAUUGAUAACGCCCAAUUCAAAUUCAAGUGUAGUACGGUCUAGCAAUAAUAAACUCAACAAAUGUUGGGGUCGAGGAGUAUGCUUGUGUCAAGGUGACAGAGAAUGCGAAUUUGCGAAUUUCCUAAGCUUAUCUACAAAUAAAAGGUCUUUCUUUUAGCUAGGUCCAUAAUCCAUGUAGUGCUCUCUACUCUCUAGUCUCUAUCAACCAACUCAAGUUUAAGGGUGUGUUUGGUAUGGAGGAAACAUUUUCUCUAGAAUAGGGAGAGUUUUGUGCAUAAACAAAGAAGAAUAUCUCAGUAUAACAGUGAAUGUGUAUUUUUUUUAUGAUUUGCUUCAUUUGAGUAUGACUUUUGUAAGAAAAUUCUGGUAAAAGUUUAAAAAAUGAUCUUGUGGAAUAAGCACAGUGAAUUCCUUAAUAUUCGAGUAGAAAAAGCCAGGGAGGAUAACAUUGCUAUUUGUACACUUAUCGUGACACGAGUAGUCUCUUAAAUAUUACACCUUUCUACUGGUGUUGCUGGUGCCACUGAAUUUAGCCUUCCGUCUUCCUUUGCGAGGUAGAUUGAGGACUCCCAAGAAAGGAAACACAAGGUACUGGAGUCUGUUCCGGCCUCUACAGUAUGUAUGUACAUAAAAUUUGGAGUAACUAAAAAACCACUGACAAAUGGCUAUACGAAAGAUCAUAUACAAUUUAAUUACAAGCCAUUUGCAAUCAUCCUGCCCCUUUAUGCAGAAUCUUUUCAAAGAAAAUGAAAACAAACACUCACACAUUUGGCUUCUGAUUGACAUUUAUUUCAGAGAACUGGCUAGUCCUCAGAACACCUUAACUACUCGCUGCAGAAAAAAAAAGACGCAAAAAAUGGAAAAUAAUAUGUUAGAUGUCCCAUAAUUAAGGAACAGGAGAACAUUAUAGCAAGAAUGAGCAUGCAGGUAUAAGAACUUACACAUUAUUGCGGCAAGAAGCAACUUCUUUCUCAAAGUCAAUAUCAUCAUCUUCAUCUAUUGUUACACUACAUCGAAAAUGCUUGCUACAAAAGAUGAAAAAUGAAAUGUUACACUUCCCAAAAUCAAGAAUGAGCAUGCAAGUAUAACAACUUACACAAUAUUGGAAGGAUUCGAAUCAAUCACAAUGACAGCAUCAAGAACUUUUGUUGAAUUGGUGUAAUUUGACUUACUAAAGCUAUUAUCCAGAUUAUUAUCGAGUUUACUAUAAUGAUGAGUUAAAUAUUGUUGUAAAUCAAGGAAGAAGAUGUACUUACUAAAGAUUACGAGUAUGGACCUCGAUAGAGCUUCCAUAGUUGUCUUGAAUGUCCUGUUGAAUUUGCUUGGCGGAAUUCCCAACAGAUUGUUGACAGUAACUUAUAUCAAUAAGAGCUAGUGUGGUUAUAUCUGCAAAAUCUCGAGGGAUUGAAUCCAAAUAAUAGCAACUUCUAAGAAAAAGUCGUUCAAGGUACGGAAAGUGAUCACUACUAGCUCUCCAGUACCGAAUGCAUACUUCAUGCAGAAACAAGAACUUCAAGUGAGGAAACCCUUCCUCAACUACUUCCCACUCCUCGCCUAUGAAGGAUUUCCAUGAUAGUUUAAGGACCUCGAGUUUGGGUAAUUUACCAACAAUGCUCAAAUCCUUCCAUGCCAAAAAGAAUUCUCCGCUAAAAGUUAAACUCUUAAGGUUUUGUGGAAAAGCAUCCGGAGGAGGUAAGCGUAAAGUUGAAACAUCAGUUGGAGGUGCAGUUGCCCUGAAAGGUAAGAGUAAACUUGUAUAAAGUUGAACAACUAGCCACAUGAGUCCUACAUGACACAAUACACAUAAGACACCAACUAUUUCCAUCACAUUUCCAGCUAGGUCCACUAACAGGAUAAAGUAGAAAGAUGUGAGGUCACUAACCUUAUCAUCAUGUAGACAAAAGAAGAGACCAAAGUUAAAAAAAAAAAAGACAGGAAAAAGUAGAAAAAUUUGUGAUCAUACAUUAUUAGACCCUACACUAAUCUCUUUAGAAAAAUAAGUUUCAAUAAAGGAGUUCAAGCUGUAUAUUGAUAACGUCCAAUUCAAAUUCAAGUGUAGUACGGUCUAGCAAUAAUAAACUCAACAAAAGUUGGGGUCGAGGAGUACACUUGUGUCAAGGUGACAGAGAGUGUUCUGGCCUAUACAGUAUGUAUGUAUGUACAUAAAAUUUGGAGUAUCUAAAGAACCACUGACAAAUGGCUAUACGAAAGAUCAUAUACAAUUAAAUUACAAGCCAUUUGCAAUCAUCCUGCCACCUUAUGCAGAAAAAAUGAAAAUUCUGAUUUGACAUUUAUUUCAGAGAACUGGCUAGUCCUCAGAACACCUUAACUACUCGCUGCAGAGAAAAAAAAAAGACACAAAAAAUGGAAAAUAAUAUGUUAGAUGUCCCAUAAUUAAGGAACAAGAGAACAUUAUAGCAAGAAUGAGCAUGCAGGUAUAAGAACUUACACAUUAUUGCGGCAAGAAGCAACUUCUUUCUCAAAGUCAUCUUCAUCUGUUGUUAUAUCGAAAAUGCUUUCUACAAAAGAUGAAAAAUGAAAUGUUACACUUCCCAAAAUCAAGAAUGAACAUGCAAGUAUAACAAGUUACACAAUAUUGGAAGGAUUCAAAUCAAACACAAUGACAGCAUCAAGAACUUUUGUUGAAUUGGUGCAAUUGGACUUACUAAAGCUAUUAUCCAGAUUAUUAUCGAGUUUACUAUGAUGAUGAGUUAAAUAUUGUUGUAAAUCAAGGAAGAAGAUGUCUUACAAAAGAUGACGAGUAUGGACCUCGAUAGAGCUUCCAUAGUUGUCUUGAAUGUCCUGUUGAAUUUGCUUGGCGGAUUUCCCAACAGAUUGUCGACAGCUACUUAUAUCAAUAAGAGCUAGUGUGGUUAUAUCUGCAAAAUCUGGAGGGAUUGAAUCCAAAUCAUAGCAAUUUCUAAGAAAAAGUCGUUCAAGGUACGGAAAGUGAUCACUACUAGCUCUCCAGUACCGAAUGUAUAUGUUAUCCAGAAACAAGAACUUCAAGUGAGGAAACCCUUCCUCAACUACUUCCCACUCCUCGCCUAUGACGGCAUUGUCUGAUAGUUUAAGGACCUCGAGUUCGGGUAAUUUACCAACAAUGCUCAAAUCCUUCGAUGCCAAAAAGAAUUCUCCGCUAAAAGUUAAACUCUUAAGGUUUUGUGGAAAAGCAUCCGGAGGAGGUAAGAGUAAAGUUGGAACAUCAGCUGGAGGUGCAGCUUUCCCGAAUUGUGUCUUUUUGUACAAUAAUUUCGUCUGAAACCUCAGAGGAUCUUGCGGAGUAGAACCUGAAGGUGCAGUGCUUUCUAGAACGCAAGCAGCACCUGGAUAAUAAACACGAAAUGCCAAUUUCUCGAGCUGAUAUAAGUAGCGAAAAUCAUACAGGUCCUUGUGAUUGCGAAAGUCCUCUUGGACGCCAAAUACUUUCAACUUCUUUAAAUUGGGAAAUAGUCUAAAAAAAGACCCUGUACAAUUCCGAGGAUUCAAUUGAUUGAGACAUUGCAAACUUUUCAAAACCAAUCUGUUCUCUGUAGGCUCAUGACUCCGCAAGUAAUUCCAGCCCAUACGCAGCUUCCUCAAUUGUGGCAUCGUCAAAAUUUCCGAUGGUAAUAUGAAAGGAUAACUAUCGGUAAAUGGAAGGUAAAGUUUAAAAGUUUGCAGAUAGCAUAGGCAUGAUAUCGAUAGAGGAAUGUCUAUUAUUGAUGAGGGAACAGCUUCUAUCGAUCCUCGAUACUGCAGUAAGCAAGGAUUAAAACACAAAGAUAGGUAUCUCAAAUGAAUUAGAGAAAGUACUCCACUGGGAAAAAUUGGGCAUGGAGUCCAACCAAGAUCUAGUACUCUUACUAGCUUGAAAGACAAUUCCAGUGUGAUGCAAUUGAAUCCACGCAACAUGAUAAUAGAAUGAGCCUCACUGUUACGACACCAAGCCAAUUCUUCCUCCUUAUAGAUACUGAUCCGACUUCGCUUCUUAAAGGAACACUGCAUGGAUUGUGCACAUGAAUUUUGAUCACUCUUUCCUCUGAUAACAUUCACAAAAUUCAUGUUUCGAGCUUCCCUCAAACAGAGUUCACGGGUCACAUCAUGCAUUCCACAGCUCUGUAUUUCCCCAUCAAAACUCAAUUUGUGGAUAGAAAUUAGACUUCUAUCUACAAGUUCGUUUAUACAUGUUUCUGCCACCUCUUCUAUGCUUUUUCCCUCUUCUUCAUUCAAAAACCCCUCUACGGCCAAUAACUCAACAAGUUUAUUUACAAAAAUCCGUUCAUCCUCUGCGAAAAUUGCAAAAUACAGAAAACACGGUUUUAGGUGAGAAGGCAAGUGAUGGUAACUCAAAGCCAACACUCUCAUGCAUUGUGCUUCAGGAUCUGUGCUUACCACCGAACUUACAUUCUCCGCAAUUCUUUGCCACUCAUCUAAUCUUUGACCGAUUUUGGAGAGAAGUCCAGCAGUCACAGUAAUUGCUAGAGGUAAUCCUCCACAUUUUAAUGCAAUUUGUUUCCCAAUAUUUUCAAAUUCAGGAGAAUAAGAACCUUCUUUUUCAAAGAUCUUUUUGUGUAGUAAAUUCCAACUUUCGUCAAAAUUCAUGAGGCGCAUGUGAUGAGGAGGCUUACCUGAACUAGCAUAUUCAGCCACUUCCACAUUCCGAGUAGUCAGGAGUAUUUUGCUUCCAUUAAUACAGUCCAUAUGUCAUCAAUGACUACCAAGUAUCUCCUGCCUUUCAGAUGCUUUUGCAGUCGGUCCGCUAGUUGAUUCUCAGGUUCAUCACUUAUCGAAGAAAGAAGGCCUAGGAUUACAUUUCUCACACAAUACUCCUGCGAAACAGUUACUUUUGCACGAAUAUCAAAUCGAGACAUAAUGUAAGGAUCACUAUAGAGUUUUGCAGCCAAAGUUGUUUUCCCGAUGCCUCCCAUCCCUACGAUUGAGACAACUUCUAGUUCCCUUCCUCCUCUAGCAAGUUGAUCCAGCAUCAUCUCAAAUUCAUUUUCACGGCCAACCAUUAUAUUCUCGGGCUGCUCAACAUCAUGUUCAG